GAUGAACGCUGGCGGCGUGCCUAAUACAUGCAAGUAGAACGCUGAAGGAGGAGCUUGCUCUUCUGGAUGAGUUGCGAACGGGUGAGUAACGCGUAGGUAACCUGCCUGGUAGCGGGGGAUAACUAUUGGAAACGAUAGCUAAUACCGCAUGACAACAGUUAUUGCAUGAUAACUGUUUAAAAGGGGCAACUGCUCCACUACCAGAUGGACCUGCGUUGUAUUAGCUAGUUGGUGAGGUAACGGCUCACCAAGGCGACGAUACAUAGCCGACCUGAGAGGGGGAUCGGCCACACUGGGACUGAGACACGGCCCAGACUCCUACGGGAGGCAGCAGUAGGGAAUCUUCGGCAAUGGACGGAAGUCUGACCGAGCAACGCCGCGUGAGUGAAGAAGGUUUUCGGAUCGUAAAGCUCUGUUGUAAGAGAAGAAUGAGUGUGAGAGUGGAAAGUUCACACUGUGACGGUAUCUUACCAGAAAGGGACGGCUAACUACGUG
rnacentral:rRNA from 1 species